AGCGAACGCUGGCGGCAGGCUUAACACAUGCAAGUCGAGCGGGCAUCUUCGGAUGUCAGCGGCAGACGGGUGAGUAACACGUGGGAACGUACCCUUCGGUUCGGAACAACUCUGGGAAACUGGAGCUAAUACCGGAUACGCCCUUAUGGGGAAAGGUUUACUGCCGAAGGAUCGGCCCGCGUCUGAUUAGCUAGUUGGUGGGGUAACGGCCUACCAAGGCGACGAUCAGUAGCUGGUCUGAGAGGAUGAUCAGCCACACUGGGACUGAGACACGGCCCAGACUCCUACGGGAGGCAGCAGUGGGGAAUAUUGGACAAUGGGCGCAAGCCUGAUCCAGCCAUGCCGCGUGAGUGAUGAAGGCCUUAGGGUUGUAAAGCUCUUUAGUCCGGGACGAUAAUGACGGUACCGGAAGAAUAAGCCCCGGCUAACUUCGUG
rnacentral:rRNA from 1 species